rnacentral:rRNA from 1 species
ACUCCUACGGGAGGCAGCAGUGGGGAAUAUUGGACAAUGGGGGCAACCCUGAUCCAGCGACGCCGCGUGUGUGAAGGAGGCCUGCGGGUUGUAAAGCACUUUUAGUGGGGAUGAAAAGCACAUUGCUAAUACCAGUGUGUCUUGACCUAACCCAAAGAGAAAGCACCGGCUAACUCUGUGCCAGCAGCCGCGGUAAU